rnacentral:rRNA from 1 species
CAUUAUAGAAUAAAAUUGAACGGGCUGUUGCUCUCCUUAUGGUGGUGCACGCCUGUCAUAUUUAUCUCUCCCACUGUGCACAUUUUGUAGACCUGGUGUUUGGGAAUUGCUGUAGUCAGCUUUGCCCUUUGCCCUUGCCAGUCUAUGUUAUUUUAUCACAACCUCUGAAUGUUUUGAACUUUUUAUGAUGGAAAUUAUAUACAACUUUCAGCAACGGAUCUCUUGGCUCUCGCAUCGAUGAAGAACGCAGCGAAAUGCGAUAAGUAAUGUGAAUUGCAGAAUUCAGUGAAUCAUCGAAUCUUUGAACGCAUCUUGCGCUUCUUGGUAUUCCAAGGAGCAUGCCUGUUUGAGUGUCAUUAAAGUUCUCAAAACCCACAUGCUUGUCAUGUGGAAUUUUGGAUAUGGGGGUUUGCAGGCUUUUUAAAGUCGGCUCCUCUGAAAUGUAUCAGUGGUAUCUGUGUGGACUACAGGUGUGAUAAAUAAAAUCUAUGCCUUGCCCCUCACCGUGCUGCUUCUUCUGACGAGUUGGGAUUGACAAAUUUGACCUCAAAUCAGGUAGGACUACCCGCUGAACUUAAGCAUAUCAAUA